ACGUUUCACUUAUGACAGAAAUGUUGAGAACUAGAGGCAAUGAUGGACUUGGAGGGAGAAAGUCUAACUUUAAUUCAGUUGGAAGGGUAGAAAAUUUCUUCUAUACAUGGAUUUUUAGGCGAAGAAUACAGAUGACCUUAAUGCUUUUCUUAAAGAAGAUCCAAGUCUUGGAAAUGAACGAGAUGAAG